GCAAACUAAAUAAAUGCCUAUGAAUAUUGAAAAACAUCUAUCUAUGAUAAAUUUUGUUCUUAAAAUUCUGUUUGUAUUUGUAUAUUUACUGGUUGCUCCAAAAAAUUCUGAUUUUGAGGCUGUGACUUAACGACAGUAACUUCUACAUACACUGAGUUAAUCUGGGUUGCUUUAGUUUCUAAUUUUGAUUGUGCUGAGAGAAGAUAGGAAUAAGGAUGGAUUUUAUUUUAAUUGAAUUCUUAUACGCGACCGCCAUGCAUAUGUGCCAACAUGGCCUGCAUGUUCAAGGUGUGAGCCGCUCAUCAGGUGGGCCCAUAUGUCAGAUGCCCCAGCAUCAGAAUUGGGCAAUUCAAUCACCAGGUGAGAUGUAACAUGUGCUAAAUAUGGUGGACGCCCUUUCAUGUCUCUUCUGGCGGUUGGAUUUGCCCAACUUUUUUGCUAAGGCACCUGCAUGGUAGGAGCCCACCUGAUGAGUGGCUUGUAUGUUUGCACAUGUACAUGUGAUCACGCAUGUCGUCUUGACUCUUAAUGCAUAUGGCACAUUUCAAUUUCUCUAAUAAGGUAUGUAGUUUUGUAUGAUUGCUUGCCAUUGACUCUUGAUGCACAUGACCCAUUUCAGUUUCUUUAAUAAGGUAUAUGUAGUAUUGUAUGAUUGCUUGCUAGAGCAAAGAGCAAAACAACUUUUUUAGCUAUGUUGUUGGGCCCACCUUUAUGUGUUCCAGAGGUGUUCUAUGAUUGCUUGGCAGAUGAAAGAGCAAACCAAUAUUUUUCCUUGGUUGUGGGGCCCACCUUUAUGUGAUCCAGACCAUUUAUGAGGUUUUUUAUGAUUGCUUGGCAGAGCAAGGAGCAAAACAUUGUUCUUUUUUUUUGUGGGUCAUGUACUGGUAAAAGAACAUAUAGUCAACAGUUAGAUCCUUUCCACCGAGGUUUUAAGACUCAGACAAGUCCCAUGCAACUCGUCCAAGUUGACUCAGAUUCAGUCGGACCUAGUCUGGUUCGACACUACAAUUAGAACUAAAAAUAAGGGGUGACUUAGAUGGAGUCAUAUGUCCACCAGGUCUAUUUUUGUUUAUGAAUUGCCAUAGAAAAUGUGUAGGGUGCUUAAUUUAGCAACAUGAGUUAGUGCAUAGACUAGAUGUGAUGUACAUUCUUCUGGUCAGAAGACUUUAUGGCACAAAUCCUUGAGGUCAUUACAUAUUCUCAAUAUAAGGUGUCGAGAUGUUGAUUCUUUCUUCAGUUUUUGUCCAUGCAUGCAUGCUUCUGCGAAUAGUCUUUGACUAGGUUUGUAGGUCCAAUCUCGGUUUUUGUAGUCACCAGAGUUAGUCUGAUGGUAACUGAUCCAGUUUUGGCAUGCUCAUGGUACAGAUGAGAAACUGUAAAACCACAGGGUCUCUCCUAUUCUAGUGCUAGAUGCUAACACAGAGGAUCAGGGCAAGAUCACCUCUACAAUGAUUGAUCUCAACUCAAGGCCAAACCGGAUUCAUGGGCAACCUUCAAAUACACAGGGGAUGAAUGCUUUAAGCGAUAGCCAUCAUGAGUGUGCAAGUGUAGUUCCAGUGGGAUCUUGCAAUCAAGAUCUAGAGAAGUAAGCAAGGUAGAUUCUAUUCUUCUCAUUUAUGCUAGUUCAUUGGUCUUUUUGUUUAACCAUUUCUUGGUUAAAGGAAAAAAAAGAAGAUAAGGAGCCUGACUCCUUUGGCCUUCUGAGUUUUGGAUGUCCUAAAAAAGAAAAAGAUUAGAGUUGUUUAGACUAAUCAUGGGUUAACAUCUAUAAACCAAUGCCAUGGUGCAUGGGGUGUUUUUUUUUUUUUUUUUUUUUUAAAUUUAUUUAUUUAUUUAAAGCAGGAGUGCAUGGGACUGAAAUGUACAAUGCAUCUCUUGAAUUUUUGGGGGAAUGCAUGGGAACUGUUAUACAUGUUUUGUUGAGUUCUUUUGAAAUGCUUCAUUUUGUAUGGUAAAACUUUCUUUAAAAUGAUGCUGAGUUAAGAAAAAAGGAAAGAAAAAGGAUUGUGAGUUAUGAUUUCUUGAGA